AUUGAACGCUGGCGGCAUGCCUUACACAUGCAAGUCGAACGGUAACGCGGGGCAACCUGGCGACGAGUGGCGAACGGGUGAGUAAUGCAUCGGAACGUGCCCAGUAGUGGGGGAUAGCCCGGCGAAAGCCGGAUUAAUACCGCAUACGACCUACGGGUGAAAGCGGGGGACCGUAAGGCCUCGCGCUAUUGGAGCGGCCGAUGUCAGAUUAGGUUGUUGGUGGGGUAAAAGCCUACCAAGCCGACGAUCUGUAGCUGGUCUGAGAGGACGACCAGCCACACUGGGACUGAGACACGGGCCAGACUCCUACGGGAGGCCGCAGUGGGGAAUUUUGGACAAUGGGGGCAACCCUGAUCCAGCCAUGCCGCGUGCGGGAAGAAGGCCUUCGGGUUGUAAACCGCUUUUGUCAGGGAAGAAACGCUCUGGGCUAAUACCCCGGGGUAAUGACGGUACCUGAAGAAUAAGCACCGGCUAACUACGUGCCAGCCGCCGCCGUAAUAC
rnacentral:rRNA from 1 species